rnacentral:rRNA from 1 species
UACGUAGGGUGCAAGCGUUAAUCGGAAUUACUGGGCGUAAAGCGUGCGCAGGCGGUCGUGCAAGACAGAUGUGAAAUCCCCGGGCUCAACCUGGGAACUGCAUUUGUGACUGCAUCGCUGGAGUGCGGCAGAGGGGGAUGGAAUUCCGCGUGUAGCAGUGAAAUGCGUAGAUAUGCGGAGGAACACCGAUGGCGAAGGCAAUCCCCUGGGCCUGCACUGACGCUCAUGCACGAAAGCGUGGGGAGCAAACAGG